rnacentral:rRNA from 1 species
AUUGAACGCUGGCGGCAUGCCUUACACAUGCAAGUCGAACGGCAGCACGGGAGCAAUCCUGGUGGCGAGUGGCGAACGGGUGAGUAAAGCAUCGGAACGUGCCCAGUCGUGGGGGAUAACGUAGCGAAAGCUACGCUAAUACCGCAUACGAUCUGUGGAUGAAAGCGGGGGACCGUAAGGCCUCGCGCGAUUGGAGCGGCCGAUGUCAGAUUAGGUAGUUGGUGGGGUAAAGGCUCACCAAGCCGACGAUCUGUAGCUGGUCUGAGAGGACGACCGGCCACACUGGGACUGAGACACGGCCCAGACUCCUACGGGAGGCAGCAGUGGGGAAUUUUGGACAAUGGGCGCAAGCCUGAUCCAGCAAUGCCGCGUGCAGGAUGAAGGCCUUCGGGUUGUAAACUGCUUUUGUACGGAGCGAAACGGCUUCCACUAAUACUGGGGGCUAAUGACGGUACCGUAAGAAUAAGCACCGGCUAACUACGUGCCAGCCGCCGCAGUAACAC